GGACUACAGGGGUAUCUAAUCCCGUUUGCUCCCCUGGCCUUCGUGCCUCAGUGUCAGGAACUGCCCAGGCAUUCGCCUUCGCCACUGGUCUUCCUCACGAUAUCUACGCAUUUCACUGCUACACCGUGAAUUCCAAUGCCCUCUACAGUCCUCUAGCAAAGCAGUAUCGAAUGCAGUUUCCAAGUUGAGCUUGGAGAUUUCACAUCCGACUUACCUCGCCACCUACGCACCCUUUACGCCCAAUGAAUCCGAACAACGCUUGAGACCUCUGUAUUACCGCGGCGGCUGGCAC
rnacentral:misc_RNA from 1 species